rnacentral:lncRNA from 1 species
CUUUGUUUAGUAUUGGUCGGUUAUUGAAAAUUUUUACUACGUGUUUUAAUAGAUAUCAUAAUUCAUAUCAACUUAGAAUCAACGGUUGAAACGCUAUACGACAAACAGGGAACUCAUAAAAUAGUCAAAUACAUCUAAGGUAAACUUUGCCUGGGAGAGUUGAAAUCUUGGUUUGUUAAUAAUUUCAAAACUUUAUAAACGGACAAUUUUAGAAAGAUUUAUUAUGAAUUAUGUCAGUACCGAAGAAUUGAAUACUGAGCUGAUGAUGACCCCGGAGCACUGAUGGCAAUGAAAACAACACGUUACAAAUUCCAUGCGCUAUUAUGUUCAAAAUCUAACUUAUAUUGUCUUUUUGUUAUAGAUAAAAUUAGAAAAAAAGAGACAAAACAAAGAAAACAAAAACCACCGUGAAUCAAUAAAAGGCAGACAGAAAAUGGCCAAAAGAAGAAAAGAUGAAAUAAAGGCAGUUACCGUACAAAACUAAAGUGAAGUUCAGUUGAACAAAUGGUCAAGAAAGUUAUAACGAUGGGAAAGGAAACAGCAGUUUCUAAUGAUUUUCUUUUGGAAACUUCUGUUACAGUAAAACAUGUAUUAGGAAUAAAGUCGACAAGUAGAGAACCAAAGUCCGUUAACAAAAAAAGAAAUGUAAGGUUAUCAAAAUUAAUAGACAGCAACCCAAUAAUGAUAAAACCUGGAAUAUUAUUGAAGAAUUUAUCAUUUAUUUUAUUUGUUUACAAAUCUAAUUUUCGGGUAUAAAAGUAAGAUGUGGUAUGAUAACCAAUCAAUAUGAACCUUAAACACUGCAACAAACAUUGUA